UGCAGUAGAACGCUGAAGAGAGGAGCUUGCUCUUCUUGGAUGAGUUGCGAACGGGUGAGUAACGCGUAGGUAACCUGCCUUGUAGCGGGGGAUAACUAUUGGAAACGAUAGCUAAUACCGCAUAACAAUGGAUGACACAUGUCAUUUAUUUGAAAGGGGCAAUUGCUCCACUACAAGAUGGACCUGCGUUGUAUUAGCUAGUAGGUGAGGUAAUGGCUCACCUAGGCGACGAUACAUAGCCGACCUGAGAGGGUGAUCGGCCACACUGGGACUGAGACACGGCCCAGACUCCUACGGGAGGCAGCAGUAGGGAAUCUUCGGCAAUGGGGGCAACCCUGACCGAGCAACGCCGCGUGAGUGAAGAAGGUUUUCGGAUCGUAAAGCUCUGUUGUAAGUCAAGAACGGGUGUGAGAGUGGAAAGUUCACACUGUGACGGUAGCUUACCAGAAAGGGACGGCUAACUACGUGCCAGCAGCCGCGGUAAUACGUAGGUCCCGAGCGUUGUCCGGAUUUAUUGGGCGUAAAGCGAGCGCAGGCGGUUUGAUAAGUCUGAAGUUAAAGGCUGUGGCUCAACCAUAGUUCGCUUUGGAAACUGUCAAACUUGAGUGCAGAAGGGGAGAGUGGAAUUCCAUGUGUAGCGGUGAAAUGCGUAGAUAUAUGGAGGAACACCGGUGGCGAAAGCGGCUCUCUGGUCUGUAACUGACGCUGAGGCUCGAAAGCGUGGGGAGCGAACAGGAUUAGAUACCCUGGUAGUCCACGCCGUAAACGAUGAGUGCUAGGUGUUGGAUCCUUUCCGGGAUUCAGUGCCGCAGCUAACGCAUUAAGCACUCCGCCUGGGGAGUACGACCGCAAGGUUGAAACUCAAAGGAAUUGACGGGGGCCCGCACAAGCGGUGGAGCAUGUGGUUUAAUUCGAAGCAACGCGAAGAACCUUACCAGGUCUUGACAUCCCGAUGCUAUUUCUAGAGAUAGAAAGUUACUUCGGUACAUCGGUGACAGGUGGUGCAUGGUUGUCGUCAGCUCGUGUCGUGAGAUGUUGGGUUAAGUCCCGCAACGAGCGCAACCCCUAUUGUUAGUUGCCAUCAUUCAGUUGGGCACUCUAGCGAGACUGCCGGUAAUAAACCGGAGGAAGGUGGGGAUGACGUCAAAUCAUCAUGCCCCUUAUGACCUGGGCUACACACGUGCUACAAUGGUUGGUACAACGAGUUGCGAGUCGGUGACGGCGAGCUAAUCUCUUAAAGCCAAUCUCAGUUCGGAUUGUAGGCUGCAACUCGCCUACAUGAAGUCGGAAUCGCUAGUAAUCGCGGAUCAGCACGCCGCGGUGAAUACGUUCCCGGGCCUUGUACACACCGCCCGUCACACCACGAGAGUUUGUAACACCCGAAGUCGGUGAGGUAACCUUUGGAGCCA
rnacentral:rRNA from 1 species